UGGUUACAUCUCCGACGAUGAACCGCCAG
rnacentral:sRNA from 1 species